UUGUUAAGAUUAUAAAUAAUAAUAAUAAUAAUAAUGAAUAUUUUUAUUAAAAUUAAUAAUUAUAAUAUUAAGAAAAUUUUGCAGAAACUGAGAAGCACACUAUCGUCUUCGAUAAAAUGCGUAGUUGAUAUCAAGGAAAUCACAUUCUUUUCUGCUGUGAUUGGUGAUAUGGGGAUAUCGUCAAUGAUUUCAAAGUAAUCUUCGGGUUUCAUUCAGUGGUUCACAAGGAUUGAUGGAAAGACUUGUGAGAGGUCCAGUUGAGUUCAAUAUCAUAUGCAUCCAUGUCAUUCAGAAUUCCCAUCAAAUAAUGUGUACAUUGCUUUUGUUUCUUCACUUUUUCCCCUUUAUUUGUUGUUAAUACGAUUGAGAAUCUUUCAAAUAUGAGUGAUUAUUCUGGUUUUCUUCAGUCACUAAAGAGAAACACAAAUUCCCAUUUAAAUCUAUUGGUCAAGAAAUAUGAGCUUGGCUAUUGGAGAUGCCAGCUAACAUGCAAUGAGAAGCAAGGAAGCAAAUCAAAUGCUGACUCAUUUCAACCAGACAAAAAAAGAAGUCGAGAUAUUAGUUCAAAAAAUAAAAGAUUGUUGAUUGAAAGUGAAGAUGCUCUUGAGCUCAAAUAUACAUGGGAAGAAUUACAAGAUAUGUUGACUCCACUUAACGCUUUGAAUCCAAGUAGUGUCACCAUUGAAGACCAAGAAUUUGAAGAAUAUGAAGAACCUCCUGUUUUUGGAAAGGGGAGUAUACUCACUGAACAGUGGGCCCAAUGUGAUAACUGUUCAAAAUGGCGAUGCUAAAUGGACAUGCCAAGAAAAUGUCUGGGAUCACAACAGGUCUGCUUGUGUUGCACCAGAUGAAUUACGCCCUAGAGAACUUGAUCACCUUCUUAGGGUGGCUAAAGAGUUUCACAAAUGGAGAAACUCCAUGAACCAAAAGCCAGCACCAGACCAAGACUAGGUGGUUUGAUCGAGAAAUUUUUUUAAGCAAACGGUUGUUGAUUCGAUUGAGCCUGUACAAGAUAAGGUGCUUGAUGCCCUAAUUGGCUACUUAAAAGCAGCGGAUGCUGAUGCUGGAAGCUUUUACCCACUUCGUCUUUAGUUUUUUUUAUUAUAAUUUGUCUUCCUACAUCAACAACAGUUCAUGCACAAUGAAUAUGAGGCUCCUAUAUUACCGAUUCAUCUUUAAUGAGUCAUUUUGUUAGUUUGCCAAGAAAGUUUGUGAUGCAAUUGUGGCAAAAUGCCUUAUUGGUGGCCAAAGGCAAUUGAGAAGGCACAUAUGGUGUCUAUGCUUUGGGUGGAGUUGGAAGCUAUGGAUACAUUCUUGCCUUCCUGGUAUGUUUAAUGUUCGAGUAUUGCGUGCAUUAAUUUGUAAAUGUUGUGAUUUUUCUUUAUUAGAAUGUCUGUUCAUAGGCUGCAAGAACAAAACAAUAAAAAACAAAGUUAUUGAACGAAACGUCCCAAAAAUACCAUACAAAAUUUUUUGUUUUUAAAACAUUACCAAAACCAUAAUAUCAACUAUCAUAUAAUAAAACCAUGAAUCGUGUGUCUCAAAAUGUCAUAGUAAAUGUAUCAAAUUAAAAUAAUGUCAAUAUCAUAUCAAAACAUCCAAACAAACACCUAGGAUAAAACUGUGGUGUGUGUGGUGCCAUCAUCCCGAGCUCUUGCUCUUGCUAGCGGAGGUACCUGAAACCAGAACUGAAACUGUAAGCAUGAAGCUUAAUGAGCUCCCCCAAACUACCACAUACCAUACAAUAACAUAUAAACACAUACUGGGCCUUGCCCACUUCAUCGGGCCCCGCCUGGUAUCGGACCGAAGUUCAGUAUACUUGGGUCCCGCCCACUGCAUCGUGCCCCACCCGGCAUUGGGCCUCGCCAGGCAUCGGGCCGAAGUCCGGAAUAACUUAUGCCCCGCCCACUGCAACAGGCCCCACCCGGCAUCGGACUGAAGCCCGGAACAUAUAGCACAUAACAUAACAUAACAUAACAUAACAUAACAUAACAUGCAUGAAUCACUAAGACAUCAAGCACACAUAACUACUUCUCGGGACCCUCCCAGCAUCAGACCAAAGUCUGGAACUACUAUCUAACCAGGUCGGCAUUGUGGCUGUAGACCCGUUCCUACUAGAAAGAAACUCACCUCGAAAAGUUGACUGCUGAACACCUGAGUAAAGAAUCCAUGAUUGCUGUUCCGACUACUCCCCGGCUAUCAUAAUCAAUUAAAACACUCAAUCAGAAUAUGGAUUCUUUUAUGGGUAAAAUGACUAUUUUACCCUUGCUAUGGUGUGGGUCACAAACACAGCCCAAAUCCUUAAUUCCUUCUAAGUCCAUCAAUGGCCCGCUAGAGGCCCACUGAUGGCCCAAUUUUCUACAUUGGGCCCAAAUCUCUUUAUUGGGCCCUACCCUAAGCCCAACACCGAUACUUGGACCAUAUUCACUAACUCCUGAUGGCCCACUAAGGCCCAAAGACCCUAAGUCCAAAGCACAACCCACAUUGAGGUGCCAAUGCUCGAAGCCCAAUCUGGCAGCGUACACGGGGUGUACUUCUAGGUACGCUGAGCGUACUAGCUGAUGGCUUGUACGUCGUACGUACCUCCUUCUAUGCCCAGUAUACAGCCCCGGUAAGCCAAUUUCCUAUUAAGUGCUUAAUAUCUCGAUUCAGAAGCUACAAACUCAGAUCCACGUCUUAUUAUAUGCCUUAAGCCAUAAAGUUGCUUACUUGAUGGCUUGGAUGAUUCACAAAAGAUUAAACUACUAAAAGCAACACCCUAACUCCAUGGGAAUGGCUAGAUCUCAUGCAUGGCCUCAUACAGCCCUUAAAGAUUGUAACCUUAAUCCUAAGGAGGUGUUUUGAGCCACAAGGAUGGCAAUCUCAAGCUCAAAAACGGAUCUAUAUGAUCAAGGUCCAACUUUUGCACCUACAAAAGGUCCAAAACUCCCAUAACUCUAUAUCUAGAAUGUGAGGAAGAAAGUUCAGUGCUUUAUUCCUUCUUUGGAUGACAAAGGGUGAGUUUAGUCCAAAUCUCUGAGCUCACCUUCUUCUCCAACCUUUUCUUUCCUUUUUCACCACCCUCUUUCACUAAAAACACUCACAAAGAGCAAUUUCACAAAAAUGAGAGAGUAAGGACGUAUUAUGGUUUUCUUGUGGGUGAGGAGGCUGAUAAGAAAUCAGGGGGAGGCUAUAAUGGGGUUUAUAUACCUCUUAAACCCCAAAAUUAGGGUUUUGUGUCUGAUCGCGUACGCUGGGCGUACCUUAUGGUACGCUGCACGCACACCUCUCAUGUCCCGCGAAUCCAAGGACGCUACGCGUCGCGUACGCUGGGUUACGCCCCGCGUACGGCUUAUGGGCAGCCUACAUCUCGGCCCAAGUUUCCUAAGUCCCAAUCCAAAAUGUCAAGUCCAACCAUAGUUUAAUAUCUUUUUAAAUUACACAAUUGGUUAAUAAAUACCUCAGAAGACGGAUGUUACAAUUCACCCCCACUUGAAUCAGACUUCGUCCUCGAAGUCUGCUGCUACUGUGUCUAAAAACAACUCUGAGUAAUGCUCUCUCAUCUCCUCCUCGGACUCCCACGUCCAUUCUGAACCCUUCCGGUGCUGCCACUGCACCUUCACUAGCUGAACUACCUUGUUCCUCAAGGCCUUCGUCUGCCGAUCCAAGAUCGUAAUGGGUUUCUCGAUGUAGUUCAGACUGAUGUCAACCUGAAUAUCCUCCAAUGGUACAAUUGUUGACUCGUCUACCAAACACUUCCGCAGCUGAGAUACAUGAAAAGUGUUGUGGAUCUGGCUGAGCUCUACCGGAAUAUCCAAACGGUAAGCAACCUGACCCACCCGGGCCAAAACCCUAAAGGGACCAAUGAACCUGAGGCCCAGCUUGGCCCUCUUCUGGAACCUGGUAACACCCUUCCAGGGUGAUACAUUCAGGAGGACCAUAUCACUCACCCGAAACUCCAAGUCCGAACGCCUCUUGUCGGCGUAAAUCUUCUACCGACUCUGAGCAGUCUGAAGCCGACUAUGGACCUGCUGGAUCAACUCUGUGGUCUUGAGUACCACCUCCGUUCUCCCAAUAACUCUCUGACCGACCUCACCCCAACAAAUUGGGGUCCUGCAUUUCCUCCCGUAAAGCAUCUCGAAGGGAGUACGAUCGAUACUGGCGUGAUAGUUGUUGUUAUACGAAAAUUCUGCUAACGGAAGAUACGUAUCCCAACUGCCACCGAAAUCUAGAACACAUGCCCGAGGCAUGUCCUCGAGAGUCUGAAUCGUCCUCUCGCUCUAUCCGUCCGUCUGUGGGUGGAAAGCGGUGCUAAAUUAGAGACGAGUACCCAUAUCUUCGUGGAACCGCUCCUAAAAUCUGGAAGUGAAACGGACGUCUUGGUCUGACACUACCGAAACAGGCACUCCAUUCCGUGCCACUACCUCGCACACGUAAAUAUCAGCCAAGUUCUCUGCUGAGAUGCUCUCCUAGAUUGGUAUAAAAUACGCGCUCUUGGUCAACUGAUCCACGAUGACCCACAUAGAAUCAACUCCACGUGCGUCCUGGGAAGCUUAGUAAUGAAAUCCAUAGUGAUGUCCUCCCAUUUUCACACGGGAAUGUCUAACGGCUGCAUCUUGUCGUGGGGUCUCUGGUGCUCCGCCUUGACCAUCCUGCAGGUCAAGCAUCUCCCCACGUACCAAGCUACAUCCCACUUCAUGCAGGGCCACCAAUAAUCGGGUCGAAGAUCUCUGUACAUCUUCGUCGCCCCUGGGUGGAUGGAGAACCGAGACUUGUGGGCCUCGUCCAUCAACACCUGUCGUACUCUGACCCAGUACGAUACACAAACUCUCCCAUGAAGGGUCAACAAUCCUCGACUGUCAUUGUGGAAGGAAGCUACUCGGCCCACGAUCCUCUCACACUUCUGCCUCUCCUCCAUCAGGCCCUCGACCCGUGUCUCUCUAAUCUGCUCCAGCAAUGGAGUAAUCACUAUCAUCCUCAAGCAUAUGUCUCUGAUCGGGGCCGCUACCGCCUUGCGGCUCAAGGCGUCUGCCUCUUCGUUGGGCUUGCCCAGGUGUUAAAGGAUCUCACAAUCAUAAUCCUUUACCACGUCUAACCACCGACACUACCUCAUGUUCAGAUUCGGCUGAUCCAUGAGGUACCUCAGACUCUUGUGAUCCAUGUAAAUGGUACAACGAACCCCAUAGACGUAAUGUCCCCAAAUCUUGAGGGCAAACACCACUGCCCUCAGCUCUAAAUCGUGUGUCGGAUAGUUAGCCUCAUGAGGCUUCAACUGUCUGGAGGUAUAAACUAUCGUAUGGCCUCGCUGCAUCAAAACUGCUCCCAUACUUGUGAUCGAAGCGUCACAGUAGACUACAAAGACAUCUACUCCCUCUGCUAGGGUAAGAAUUAGCGCCUCGCAUAGUCGUUGUCUGAGCGUCUCAAAUGUUGCCUGCUGCUCAAGUCCCAAACGAAACACCACCGACUUCUUAGUCAGUCGGGUGAGCGGAACUGCUAUCUUGGAGAAAUCCUGAAUGAAUCUCCUGUAAUACCCUGCCAAAUCUAGGAAGCUCCGAAUCUUAGAUGGAGACCUCGGGACCUCCCACUGUAUCACAACCUCUAUCUUAGCCGGGUCUACUAAUAUACCCUUCUGUUUGACGAGGCGUCCAAGGAACUGCACCUCGCGCAACCAGAACUCGCACUUGGAGAACUUUGCGAAAAGUCUCUCCCUCCUCAAUGCCUCUAGCACCUCUCUCAGGUGCUCCCCGUGUUGCUCCUGAGUCUUGGAAUAAACUAAGAUGUCAUCGAUGAACACUAUCACAGACCGAUCUAGCAUUGACCUGCAUACGCGGUUCAUGAGGUCCAUGAACGCGGCUGGAACGUUGGUGAGCCAGAACGGUAUCACCACGAACUCAUAAUGACCAUAGCGGGUCCUAAAAGCGGUCUUCUGAACAUCCACAUCCCUGAACUGCAUCUGGUGAUAUCCCGAGCGUAGAUCAAUCUUGGAAAACCAAGAUGCUCCCUCUAGCUGAUCGAACAGAUCAUUUAUCCUCGGGAGUGGGUAAUGGUUCUUCAUCGUUACCUUGUUCAGCUCCUGAUAGUCUAUACACAUGCGAUAUGUCUCGUCCUUCUUCUUCACAAACAAAAUUGGGGCUCCCCAUGGUGAACUGCUCGGCCUGAUUAAACCCUUGUCUAGCAGCUCCUACAGCUGUGUAGACAACUCCAUCAUCUCAGGAGGAGCCAACCGAUAUGGUGCCUUGGCUAUCGGAGCCGUACCCGGAACCAGGUCAAUCCUAAACUCAUCCUGUCUCUAAUGGGGUACUCCAGGUGUGACAUCCCCAAUUUUCACGGCCAGAAAAGACCGAUUUUGUUUAUGCUUUGUAAAAACCAGAGUACUUCAUUUCAUAAAAAUGUUGUGGAAUUUGUUCCCAGAAAAACACGAUAAAUACGUUAUCAAAACAUUUUCGAAGAAACGUAUUUUAUUCAUUUUAAAAUGUUUAGGAUGUCAUCAUCAAUACAGAAACAUAAGCAUAAACGGAACUUACAUUUAUGUACACUAGUGAUCUAAAUCUCUUUAAUCUCUCAGUGUAAUGUGACUUCAUAUCAACACAUGUGAUAUGAAUAAACUGAGUGGGUCAGGUUGGGAAACCUAGUGAGUACAUAGGGUUUUCAACCCAUAAUAAUAUAAUUAUUAUGUUUAAACAAUCAAACAAUCAACCCAAUUACCCAUCCCCAUUAUCUUCUUUACCCUUAAGGAUUUAUCCUAAGAGUCAUCUAUCCUGCAUUCGUUUAUUCCGAAGUCCCUUACUUCCAGGGUUAUAGGACUGGCACUAAAUCCAUAGCUGCCAAUGUUCGUUCGUAAAGCACUAAUUCCAUAGCUGCUAUAGUCUAUUCAUCGGGUCCAUAGCUACCAGUGCUUAUCUAAAAGGUACUAAGUCCAUAGCUACCAAUUGCUAACAGGUACUAAAUCCAUAGCUACUGGUGUUUGUCCAAUAGGCACAAAUCCAUAGCUGCCGAUGUUUAUUAGGCACUAAGUCUAUAGAUGCCAAUGUUUACUCACAUCAUCUUUUAUCUCUCAUCAUUCAUCUACCCAUGUCAUACCCAACAUAUUCGUAUAAAAUACGUAUACAUUUUAAAUCAUUUAAAACAUGUAUAAAACGUUCAUCCAGCAUAGACAACCGAAGCCAGCUGUUUCGCACUCAUCUCAGAAGGAUCAGACCAAAGUUACGCAUGGCGUAACUUCUUCGGAUGUGGGGCGUAAUAGCGAGGGUGGCAUGUUACUCAUCCGAAGCUGGUACCGAGUCAGCGAGGGAGGGUCUAGGUUGUGCCACGCCAUCGAUCCUUCAUCAGGUCUCGCAAUUUCAUGCUUCAACUUUAAAAAUUCAUAACUUUCGCGUACGAGUUCCGUUUUCAACGUUCUUUAUAUCCACGCGAAGGCGGGAACGUACUCUACAACUUUCGUUUAGACUAUGUCGGCUAAUUUUUGCUCUAUUUUAAAUUUUAUAUUAUUAACAGGCUAGGAUAGGAUUGGUCCGUUAAAUUCUCAUAACUUCUUCAUCCGACGUUCGUUUUCGCCCAUCUUUUUCUUGUUACACUACUCUUAAUGAGAUCUUCAAUUCUCGUUUAGGCUGUGUUGGCUAAAAACCGCUUGAUCUAAUAUUCGAAUUUCGGGCUGUACAUUGCUAAGCCGAAACUUCGAAAAAUCAUAACUUCAUACGAACUCAGAUUUGGGCGUUCUUUUUAUGGACGCUCUUAGUUUAACAUCUUCUACGACUUUUUUUUAGAUUGCCUAGGCUAAAUCCCGCUCUAUCCUAAAUUCACUAUUUACGCUUCCCGGUGUCGUGCUGGUUCCAUCGCGAAACUUCGACGGGUCAUAACUUCUUCGUUAUAACUCGGAUUUCGGCGUUCUUUAUAUGUACAGAAACCUUGUGACAUAUACUACAACUUGGUUCAUAUUAUUUAUUCUAAAUAAUCUUUUGUCGAAAAGUCGUUUUCGACACUUAUUGCCUUUUUCUUGACUAACCCGGAUCUACGGGCAUUACAAUUAUCUCGUCCUUAAGAUGAUUACGUCCGGAAUCAUCAACGAAACAGGACUCUUAUAAUGACUCCGUACGUCAUCUCUUCAUCCUAGGUAAUAAUUAUAACUUCUAUAUUCCGGAAUGGAUUAUGCCUUCCUUCAUGGUCUAAUGUGAUAUAAUCACAUUUUAUCAUGUAGCAUUUCUAGCUACCAACUUCUUUAUCAAUCAAGCGUGAUACUUCUAUUGAUCGCUUUGAUUUCAAUCGUUUGGUUUAAGUCGGAUGCUACAUCAAACUUGGUUCUCUGAACCACGUAACCUACUCAUCAUAGUCGGACUCAAUGUGAUAUGACCACUAGGGUCGAAAUAUCAACAAUCUUCUUAGUCAUUACCGAAACGAUGGUAACAACACACUUGAAUAAAACGAAAUCAAUUACUAGUUUCUUAGUAACCUCGUGACUUCCCCUGAUCCAAGCAUGAGUCCUGUGCUUCCGGUAGUAUAUGCAUCUACUACUUUUCACACCUACUCAUACUCGUCCCAAGUAUUGUCUCGCAGUUUUCCAAGUCACCAUACAAGAAAAUCACAUAACAGUUUAACACAUCAGAUAGCAAAACGAAGGUUUUAUUAUUUCUUGAAACUAUUACAUAGGUGUUCAAGUUCACCCUAGAUUAUGCCUCUAAUAGGCUACAUCAUAUGAUAUCAUGGCUACUGCAUAACUUGAUCUUCGGAUAUGAAGUCCUCAUCUUUGAUUCCUCGCAUGGUUUUCUGCUUCGUCGAGGAUCAUGUGAAACGCCCUUGGCCUCGGUGGCGUUUCUGGUCUUGCUGCUUUAUUUUUCCUUGGGCAGUCUCUAGACAUGUGCCCCUUGCCUCCACAUCCGCAGCAUACUUUAUCAUUAUGUGUGCAGUCCUUGGAACAGUGACCAAUCCUUCCACACUUGUAACAAGUCACUUCUCCGUUGCACUUCCCACAAUGCUUCUUCUUGCAUUUAUCACACCAUCUCGCUUCAUCUCCAUCUCGUACUCCAAGCUUUGAGAAUUUGCUUUCCUUGUUGGACCUUGAAGAUCCUUCAAACUUCCGCUUCUCUUCUACCUUAUCUUUUUCUAGACCCUUUUCUCUUAACUGGGCCUCUACGUUCUUAGCUGCCCUAACAGUUGUUUUCAAGGUAGUUGCCGUUUUGACCAUUGGGCCAAAGUCAGUGGGUAAUCCGUUAGCAAACCUAUCAAUCUUGGAGAGUUCAGUAGGCACCAAGUAGGGGAAUAGAUUCAUCCUCUCGGUGAAUGCGGUGGCAUACUCAUCAACACUCAUCUUCCCUUUCUUUAGGUUCUGAAACUCGUUGUUUAGGUGUAUCAGAUCUAUCUUCGAGCAGUAAUGCAUUUUCAACUGUUCCAAGAACUCUUCCCAUGACAUCCUUAAGGCUUCUCCUCGUGGCAUCAUAUCUGUCAAUAGCUUCCACCAGCUCAAGACUCCAGUUUUCAGUUGUCUUACAGCGAAGACGGUCUUCUGUUUCUCGCUACAGUCGCAGCUCUCAAACACCAUUUCCAUCUCGGAGAUCCAAUCCAUGAUCUCAACAGGCUUUGGGCUUCCUGAGAGACUUGGUGGUUUCGCACCCAAGAAAUUCUUGUACAUUCGCCCAUCCUUGUCGUUUCUCCUCUCCGGGCCAUCCCUUUGAUCACCUUGAGUCCCCACUUGACUCACUUGGCGGCUGUAGUUCCCUUCCUCCGAUUGCUCGGGAAUCAGCUCGGGUUGCUCAGCGGGCAUAGUAGGUUCGUCCCUAUUCGACAUCCGCCUCAUUUCUUCCCUUUGUUCAGCUAGCAUAGCCCGAAUCAUGGCUUGAACUCCAGCCAUGGUGACUGACUCAGGUGCAACUUCUUCUACAACAGGUAUUUGCUGAACCACUGGGGGUUGGUUCCUAUUCUCAUUUGCAUUCACGUUUCCGCUACGGUUCCUUUCCAUCUUGAUCUAUACACCGAAUAAGGUGAAUCUAGACCUUUACUUAGGAUUGAUGUUUAAAUCAUCCUUGUCACUCCCAAACGUUUACAUGCUAGUUCUAAUAUCGUAGUCGUACGUUUAGAAUCCUAAACACGUAAGGUUCCCAGAUCCGAUCGGCAACAGACCAUAGAUCCGAAUAAAUAACAGCAUAUAAGGCAUAAAGCAUUUAGCACAUAAAAGCAUUUUAGACAUAAUUCCUAAAAUAAGCUAGUGCACACACCUCACAAUCAUCACUUAGCAUUCUAAGUUUAAGUCUAGAAAUAAAUCCAUAUUCCUAGUUCGCUUAAACUAAUAAUCUGAUACCAACUGUGACAUCCCCAAUUUUCACGGCCAAAAAAGAUCGAUUUUGUUUAUGCUUUGUAAAACCAGAGUACUUCAUUUCAUCAAAAAUGUUGCGGAAUUUGUUCCUAGAAAAACACGAUAAAUACGUUAUCAAAACAUUUUCGAAGAAACGUAUUUUGUUCAUUUUAAAAUGUUUAGGAUGUCAUCGUCAAUAUAGAAACAUAAGCAUAAACGGAACUUACAUUUAUUUACACUAGUGAUCUACAUCUCUUUAAUCUCUCAGUGUAAUGUGACUUCAUAUCAACACCUGUCAUAUAAACAAACUGAGUGGGUUAGGUUGGGAAACCUAGUGAGUACACAAGAUUUUCAACCCACAAUAAUAUAAUUAUUAUGUUUAAACAAUCAAACAAUCAACCCGAUUACCCAUCUCACUUAUCUUCUUUACUCUUAAGGAUUUAUCCUAAGAGUCAUCUAUCAUGCAUUCAUUUAUUCCGAAGUCCCUUACUUCCAGGGUUAUAGGACUGGCACUAAAUCCAUAGCUGCCAAUGUUCGUUCGUAAAGCACUAAUCCCAUAGCUGCUAUAGUCUAUUCAUCGGGUACUAAAUCCAUAUCUACCAAUGUUUAUCUAAUAGGUACUAAGUCCAUAGCUACCAAUUCCUAACAGGUACUAAAUCCAUAGCUACCAGUGUUUGUCCAAUAGGCACUAAGUCCAUAGUUGCCGAUGUUUAUUAGGCACUAAGUCUAUAGCUGCCAAUGUUUACUCACAUCAUCUUUUAUCUCUCAUCAUUCAUCUACCCAUGUCAUACCCAACAUAUUCGUAUAAAAUACGUAUACAGUUUAAAUCAUUUAAAACAUGUAUAAAACGUUCAUCCAGCAUAGACAGCAAGUAUUCAGAUAAUAUGCACACAUAGCACGUAGUUUAUAUAAAAUACUUCAUAUCUAUGUGUAAGAUGAAAGGGACUAUGCACUCACCUGAAAGGUGGUGACUCGACACUUGGACAACGCUUCGAUACUCCCGAAACGAUUUCCUUCGAUAAAACCUAGUAUCAAUACCACUAGGGUUUAGUCUAACGAUAACCGUGACAAAUUAAUAGUCUGACUAUUAUUAUUAUUAUUAUAUAAGCGUUAAAUAACACUCAAUAUAACUC